rnacentral:rRNA from 1 species
AUUGAACGCUGGCGGCAGGCCUAACACAUGCAAGUCGAACGAGCGGCGGACGGGUGAGUAAUGUCUGGGAAACUGCCUGAUGGAGGGGGAUAACUACUGGAAACGGUAGCUAAUACCGCAUACCAUCGGAUGAGCCCCGAUGGGAUUCGCUAGUAGGGGGGGUAAAGGCUCACCAAGGCGAAGAUCCCUAGCGGAUCUGAGAGGAUGACCGGCCACACUGGGACUGAGACACGGGCCAGACGCCUACGGGAGGCAGCAGUGGGGAAUAUUGCACAAUGGGCGAAAGCCUGAUGCAGCAACGCCGCGGGUAUGAAGAAGGUCUUCGGGUUGUAAAGUACUUUCAGCGGGGAGGCGUUACCCGAAGAAGAAGCCACGGCUAACUACGUGCCAGCAGCCGCGGUAAUUC